CCGAGAGGCUUGCAGGAAGCCAACCAGGAAGUGGGACUACGGCUGCUGCUGCAGCAGCAGCUCCACGUGGCUGAUUUAUAGCUGACGGGUUUUUUUUUCUUAGUGAUUGUUCUUGGUUUUUCACACGGCUCCUUAAGGUGGUGGAUUUGUAACCGAAAGGCCCAGGUGAGAUGUGCAAAUAUCACUGUAUUGGAGGAGCUCACUUGGAAAGCCAGUAUUUCUUUUGAGCUAAUGAAAAGAAAGGCAUUAGUCUUACGCCAAUAAGCAAUACCAACCUUGUUCACGGGCUGGUAAGUUUCAAAUCCGAAGACCACGGAUUUCAGGUUUUUAAAACAACUCCAUCCUCAUUGCCUCCUUCAUACCUGAUUUUUGCCACUUGAUUUCUGCUUUUCAAACGCAUUUUUUGCCUAUGUUACCUAAAUUACAAAAGAAAGGAUAUUGGCAAAUGUUUAGCCAAAUUCCCGACUUGAGGAAAUAAUUUUUCUGCCCAUAUCUCCCAAUAAAGAUGCCUAUGACUUUAUACCAGAGUGUAUGUAAUUACAUUAUCAGUGUACUAUAUCCUAAAUUGCUAAUUUAAGUAGAACAAAACGUUUUAAGAUUUUAUCUAGAGUUUUGUUUUUGUUUGUUUUUGAGGCAAAGUCUGGCAACCUCUGCCUUCAGGGUUCAAGCAAUUCUCCUGCCCCAGACUUCAGAGUAGCUUGGACUACAGAUGCAUGCCGCCACGCCCAGCUAAUUUUUUUUUCUUUUAACUUUAGUAGAGUCGGGGUUUCACUGUGUUGCCCAGGCUGGUCUCGACUCCUGGGAGCAGGCAAUCCACCUGCCUCGGAAGUGCUAGGAUUACAGAUCAUUUGCUGUGGGGAAGCAAACCACCACAUAGAGGAUGAUCUAACAGCCUCUGGAGUCUCACUUGGUAAGGAACUGAGGACUCCAGCCUGAGGACUCAGGCAAGUAACUGAGGCCUGCCGACAACUAUGGAGCAAGCCUGGAAAUGGAUCCUUCCUCAGCCUUCAGAUGGGGCAGCAGCUGGAAUGACAGCCAAGCCAGCGCCACAUAGCUUAGCAACCCCCAGAGAACUAACUCUCGGUAAGAUAAUACAUGUUUGUUGUUUUCUGCUGCUAAGUUUGGGGGUAAUUUAUUAUACAAUAAAUCAUUAAAAUGCAUAGCA
rnacentral:lncRNA from 13 species